CACUCCUACGGGAGGCAGCAGUGGGGAAUAUUGCACAAUGGGCGGAAGCCUGAUGCAGCAACGCCGCGUGCGGGAUGACGGCCUUCGGGUUGUAAACCGCUUUCGCCUGUGACGAAGCGUGAGUGACGGUAAUGGGUAAAGAAGCACCGGCUAACUACGUGCCAGCAGCCGCGGUGAUACGUAGGGUGCGAGCGUUGUCCGGAUUUAUUGGGCGUAAAGGGCUCGUAGGUGGUUGAUCGCGUCGGAAGUGUAAUCUUGGGGCUUAACCCUGAGCGUGCUUUCGAUACGGGUUGACUUGAGGAAGGUAGGGGAGAAUGGAAUUCCUGGUGGAGCGGUGGAAUGCGCAGAUAUCAGGAGGAACACCAGUGGCGAAGGCGGUUCUCUGGGCCUUUCCUGACGCUGAGGAGCGAAAGCGUGGGGAGCGAACAGGCUUAGAAACCCUAGUAGUCCCAU
rnacentral:rRNA from 1 species